AACGAACGCUGGCGGCAGGCCUAACACAUGCAAGUCGAGCGAACCCUUCGGGGUUAGCGGCGGACGGGUUAGUAACGCGUGGGAAUAUACCCUUUGGUACGGAAUAGCCUCGGGAAACUGAGAGUAAUACCGUAUGUGCCCUUCGGGGGAAAGAUUUAUCGCCAAAGGAUUAGCCCGCGUUGGAUUAGGUAGUUGGUGGGGUAAUGGCCUACCAAGCCUACGAUCCAUAGCUGGUUUGAGAGGAUGAUCAGCAACACUGGGACUGAGACACGGCCCAGACUCCUACGGGAGGCAGCAGUGGGGAAUCUUAGACAAUGGGCGCAAGCCUGAUCUAGCCAUGCCGCGUGGACGAUGAAGGCCUUAGGGUUGUAAAGUCCUUUCAGAUGGGAAGAUAAUGACGGUACCAUCAGAAGAAGCCCCGGCUAACUCCGUG
rnacentral:rRNA from 2 species